AAUGAGUCCUCAUGAAGGUCUUGAUUUGUGAUAUACUAGCAAACCUGGUUAUUUGGUACUUGGAUAGCAUUUUUGUGACCAUAAUAGAGAGGAUUAGGUGAAUAUAUUAUGCGAAAGUCAGAAUCAAGGUGUCAAAGAGGAUUGAUGGUAAAGAAUGUGAAGCAAAAGUUGAAUUAAAGGUGUUAAAGUCAAAUAAUCUGUGCAGCAACAUGGGUCAUCACAUAAUUGCUGCAAUCACAAUGCCUAGUUAAGAAUAGCCAUGGGUGUGAUCCCAUCUUACACAAGAAGGAUUUGAAGCUAUUGUAAUGGGACAAGGAAAUUGUCUUGUAAUUCUCAUGCCAUGCAACUUAAAAAGGCAAGCAUUGGAAUGUUGCAGUAACCCAAAAAUGUGCACUUGCAGAAGGCCAUGGCCCCUCACAUAUCAUAUGAAAUAAGUAUACAAAUAUAUAGUCAUCUGUAAGAUACAAAAUAUGGAUAACACCACUUUAUAUACAGCCCAAAUUUUCAGAGAAAUACAUACUGUAUGUGAUAAGCUAACAGUUCCAAAAUAAUAUA
rnacentral:lncRNA from 1 species